AAUAUUGUUUUGGAUAUAGGAUGGUGAUUAAAAAAAAAAAGUUUUGAUUAGUGUUGGUGCAGGAAUUAGCAUCUCCGAUAAUACCAAUUUAAACCAAGGAAUAACGUGAAUAAAAUCGAGAAUUCGAUUGAACCGGGGUAUCCCGGCUAGUCUGUUAAUGGGCCUAAGUCAUGAGCUCGCCAGAAGAUUUAGGUCGACAGUCAAGAUCGCCAUAGGCGGCUUCUCAGGUCGUGUAAAGGGAAAACUUCCAUUUAAGAGAAGAGGAUCUCAUGAAGAAUAGAAGUAAUGAAGAUUUAGACCUAAGAUAAUUAGAAGUUUAUCAUAUUUUGGUAUGUUGGACCCAUUGUAUAAAUAGGGGGGGGGGGUCAAGCCCUCUAAGAGGAUCAUGACCAACCUAAGACAAGAGACUACUAUUACAGAGCAAACUCUAGCUUUUUAUUCAAGCAACUUUGUUCUUCUCCUUUGAUUAUUCGUGAGCUAAGAGAGAAGUGAAUUUGUCUAAAUCCCUUAGUACAAAUUAAUUGUUUGAUUAGAGAAUCAACAAUUAGUUUUGAACCUGAUGAUGUAUUGGUCAAACUUGUAAUCAUCGCAUCUGAGUUUGAGGUCAUUUUUUCCAACUGUUGUUAUACAU
rnacentral:sRNA from 1 species